CUCAGCCGUGUUUGAGAAAGGGGAGCCAGUGUGGCUGGAGCACCCAGCGUGGGGUGGGGGAGAGGGAGUUCCAGGGACAGGUGAGAGGCAGGCACCCAAAGACCCCGUGGGCCUCAGCCGCCGAAGGUGGAGACUGAGCUACUUUUUCUGCCUUGGUCCCAUUCCCUCCGCACCCUCCCACAUACCGUAUGCGGAACAUCCAAGCGGUCUUUACGUCACAGAAGACUUGAACGGAAG